AAAAAAAAAAAAAUGACAAUCUUAGAAAAACUAGAAAUAAAGGAGUCCAAAAAGCAGUAAAAGUUGUGAGAGAUAAUGAGAGAAGAUAAAAAAUAAGACAUGAGUGUUAAAAUGGAAAUAUGAUCCGUCUAUGAUCUUGAGUGUGGUGGUUUGAUGAGAUUUCAAUGACCUUUUAUCACCAGCAACACUAAUUCCGACAGUUCCUUUAUGUGUCAAUGGCCAAAUUCUAGUAGAUCAACAAAUUCUGAUUCUAGUGGUA
rnacentral:misc_RNA from 1 species